UACAGAGGUCUCAAGCGUUGUUCGGAUUCAUUGGGCGUAAAGGGUGCGUAGGCGGCGCGGUAAGUCGGGUGUGAAAUCUCGGAGCUUAACUCCGAAACUGCAUUCGAUACUGCCGUGCUUGAGGACUGGAGAGGAGACUGGAAUUUACGGUGUAGCGGUGAAAUGCGUAGAUAUGUCACAGAACACCGAUCGCGAAGGCAGCUAACGAAGCUAGUACUGACACUGAUGCACGAAAGCGUGGGGAGCAAACAGG
rnacentral:rRNA from 1 species